ACAGUGUCCCGAGUUUAACACUACAUCUACUCUAGUUAGUAAGGUCACCCAUUGAUAGUGACAGGAACCAUGUUGUCUCCCCUCUUAGCUUUGAGUUGUAGCAGACCACGGAGUUAAUUUGAUUUGUUCAUUAGUUGAACAGUGUACAGAGUUUAACACUACCUCUACUCGUGUUAGUAAGGUCACCCAUUGAUAGUGACAGGAACCAUGUUGUCUCCCCUCUCAGCUUUGAGUUGUCGUAGACCACGGAGUUAAUUUGAUUUCUUCAUUAGUUGAACAGUGUACAGAGUUUAACACUACCUCUACUCGUGUUAGUAAGGUCACCCGUUGAUAGUGACAGGAACUGUGUUGUCUCCCCUCUUAGCUUCUAGUACUUUGUAGUAUACCACGGCGUCGUGGACGGUGGGGAAGGUGUCGAUACGGAGCUGGUUGGUGGUCUCUAACUCGUUGU